UAUACAUAUAUAUAAAUUCCUAGGAAAAGCUCCUAAGCUUGAUAAUUUUUCAGAUAGUGCCCUAAGUUUGAAAUGUUCCUGUAGAGCUCUCCUGAUCGUGUGAAAUGAUCAUUUUAACCCAAAUAAAUUUAAAAAAAUUAUUUUUUUUCGGGGAUCCAUCGUCGCCUCCGCUUGCAUGCAACCCUCUCUAUGCCACCUGCAACCCCUUGCAAAAAGGCCCAUCGUUGCUACCUGCAGCCCUCACACGAGGGAGCAUUGUCAUCACUCGUAACCCUGUCCGCCCGCUCCCGCCCUACGGUUGGCCGCCUCCCUCUACUUGCAACCCUUGCAUGAGAGCCCACCAUUGCCACUUGCAGCCCUCGUGCAAGGGCCUGCUGCUGCCGCCUACAACUGUGGUCACCCCACUUGGCCCACAGCCCUCAUGGGAGGGCUUGCCGCUAUCGCUUGCAGCCCUCGAGCGAGGUUUGUUGCUGCACCUUGGUCAUUAGUUGCAAAGGGACUGCACAGCCUCCUCGCACCCCUUCCUCGUCAGCAUGGUCUCCUAGGUGUCCUCGACAUUGGCUGCAGCCUCCAUUGUUGGCCACGGAGGUUGCACCUUCAUCGCGGGUCCUGCGAAGGGGGGGUGGCUGGUGCGGUGGAGGGGUCAAUCGGUAGGGCGAGGGCAUGACUAGGGGCUAGGUGGAGGUUGGUGGCUGAUGGGAGUGGAAUGUUCAUUUUCACAAAAAGAGGUACUUUGUGAGAAUUUUUCAUACUUGGGGUGUUAUCUAGAAAAUUCUCGAACUUAGGAUUUUUUUUGAAAAUUUACCUCAUAUAUGUGUGUGAGAACCAGUUUUGCAAUCUAUAUUUGAUGAGACUAAUUACAUUAUUCUCUUGGUUUGAUUUAAUUCUACGAUUCAUUUUGGAUGUGGUAGUUGUUUGUGAGCUAAAACUUUAUGGGUACAGUGCACCUUUUUUUUUUUUUUUGCUUCUGCUGCAAUAACCUAUAAUUCUACAACUAAACCAUGAGAGAUACACUGAGUAUGCAGGUCCAUCUGCUGAAAUGAUUUGGACUGCCAUGUACCAGGAUUAUUUUCCACAAAUCUAGUUAUAUGUUUUUCCUUUUAUUUCUGAUUUCUUGUCCAGACAUUUUGUUCAGUUAUUUUUGCAUUAAAUGCUGAAAUAAUUGGAGAUGGUAUGUUUGAUAUUAGUUACUGGUAAUUCUUUUGUGUUAUUGUUUUCCACAUGCUCAACAUUGCUAGUUGCUCAGUUUAGGUGAUUCAACAAUGAGUUUACGAAGAAGCUUACAUUAAUUAAAUUGUUCUUUGGACAUAUCAUGUGAAUGUAUAUAAUUUCUUUUCAAAUCAAUUUAAGACUUGAUUUAGUGAUUUUAUACUACAAUCUAUGUUUUCGUUAUGUAACAUUGUUGGUCAAUUAGUAAAUUCUAGGUGAUAAAUUUUAUUUUGCAUUUGCUUUCAUAUCUCUAGCUCUCAUCAUCUUAAUUCCUUCUGAAGAACUGUGUUACAAGAAGAGAUUGGUAAAAGAUUGAUCUCUGGGUUUCCAGUCCGCAUAGCUUCUGCAUAUCUCCUUGAAGCAAAUACAGAUUUGGUAUCUUCCUACACACUCUAUUUGAGAUUUCAGUCCACAUUAGCUAUUGGAAAAUGAUUUUUGAAUUUUUUUCAGUCAUUAAUCUCUAAUAUUCUUCUAAUGAGACAAGUGGGGUGGGGAAAUGUUUUGAUUUGUUUUGUGUGCGAGUGUAAUUUAUCCUAAUUCUAGAGUGAUAUUCCCAUCAAAUACUUCCAUAUGCAUGAAGAUAAUUCUUAUUUGAUAAUGUUUGUAUGUUUCUAUCCUUUAGCUUUUGUAUCAAGUUAUGGUCAUACAAUUUCAGGUUACAGCAAGAAAUCCAUGCCUGGUGCUUUUCAGACAUGUAUUAUGGUUCAUCAUCAUAAGUCUGAAUGUACUGGAUCAAUCAGCAGAGUUAAUGGACAACCUUCAGAGGUUUCAUGGAAACAAGGACUUCAUUGGGGAACUUCUUUCUUUCCUUUCUCGGCCUUAACCUCGGUCAAAUGCAAUCAGAUUAUGCAAGGUAGAAAUGGCUGCGACGGUAAGAGGCUUUGGUCACUACAAAAUUUUGGGAAAUCAAAUGUAUGCAGCUGUCUCUCCCUGUGCAGUAAGAUUUUUUUCCAAUUAUUGAAGUCCUUGGUGCUUAUUUGCUACCUCCACCUUUCUGCACAACAAAAAUGGUCUACAGAUUGGAGGAACGUCAUUGUGGACCUUCUAUAUUGGUUUGAAUUCAGUUUCUCCUUAAGGACAAAUGGAAGUUAUCUUGACGAAUUACAUUUUCAGUAUUCUGGAAUGAUGCAGAUUGUUUGGAACAUGCCAAAUACAACAUUAGCAAUGAUGUGAAGUAUCUAAAAACUUAAAAACAUUUGUGAGGCGGUUGCUCUACAAUCCUAGACUUCUAUCUGCAUGUCCCACAGCUUUUGUUGAAGCAAAGCUCUGUCAAGUUGAACAAGAGCGUGAGCUGAAGUAACAGAUUCAAAAACAGCCCUGAAACUUUAUGUUCACAUUGUGAACUUGAUUGUUUUAUUUAAUUGUGUGGAUGUGCUUGUUAAAUUUAUGAAAUUUGUUUGCAUGUUGUAGUGUAGUGAUGGCGUAUGUAGGAUGUGAGAAAUGUCGACC